rnacentral:tRNA from 1 species
GGGCGCGUAGCUCAGCGGGAGAGCACUUCGUUGACAUCGAAGGGGUCACAGGUUCAAUCCCUGUCGCGCCCA